rnacentral:misc_RNA from 1 species
AACAAGGCGUACCUGCGGACCUGCGGAAGGAUCAUUACAGAGUUGCAAAACUCCCUAAACCAUUGUGAACGUUACCUAAACCGUUGCUUCGGCGGGCGGCCCGGGUCCUUCCCGGCGCCCCUCGGCCCUCGCGGGCGCCCGCCGGAGGUAAACCAAACUAUUGCAUUGUAUGGCCUCUCUGAGUCUUCUGUACUGAAUAAGUCAAAACUUUUAGCAACGGAUCUCAGAUCGGAAGAGCAC